UCGAGAAUUUUUCACAAUAGGGGAAUCCCUGAUGGAGCGACGCCGCGUGGAGGAUGAAGGCCCUCGGGUUGUAAACUCCUGUCAUGCGGGAACAAGAAAGUGAUAGUACCGCAAGAGGAAGAGACGGCUAACUCUGUGCCAGCAGCCGCGGUAAUACAGAGGUCUCAAGCGUUGUUCGGAUUCAGUGGGCGUAAAGGGUGCGUAGGUGGCGAUGUAAGUCUGGUGUGAAAUCUCGGGGCUCAACCCCGAAAUUGCAUCGGAUACUGCGUUGCUAGAGGAUUGUAUAGGAGAGUGGAAUUCAUGGUGUAGCAGUGAAAUGCGUAGAUAUCAUGAGGAAGACCAGUUGCGAAGGCGACUCUCUGGGCAACUACUGACACUGAGGCACGAAGGCUAGG
rnacentral:rRNA from 1 species